UGUAUAUAUAUACACACACCUUUCAUUAACAUGAACAUGUGUGGUGUAAAACCAGUCUUUGGACAGUAUUUUGGGAAUUUGGAUUGUCCUAACCUAAUCCAAAUCAAAGAUUACAUAUAUUACUAUUUUGUCACAUUCAUUAUAUGAGUAAAAGAAAUAUAAUACCUCGUCUCAACUCGAUCAUCGGGUUCGAGAGCUACAGGAUGUCAUAUCUGUUGUUAGAGCAACUAUCGUCAAUUGUACAACAAAUAAAUCAUUUAAACAUUCAAACAUACCACUAACACAUUCAUAUCAUGAUAUACAAUCCUUUCCGAGUCUCAAUCAAGCUUAUGAAAGCUUUUUUGUCUAUCUGAGUAUGAAAUAGGACCAAAUUGUAAAGUUUCAAAAAUUCAAGGCCGAUGUCGCGACGUCACCUCCUUUACAUCAUGACGUCACCAAAACAGUUUUUCACAACGUCACAUACUGUCGACCUGCAUUGCGACGAGAAAAUGUGGUCAUUGUGACAAGGACUCUAUUUUUAUACAAAUUAGGCCAUUCGGUACCUCUUUCAUGUCAACCUUUCAAACUUACCAUUUGGUGCAUUUUGCACAACAUUUUCCUACACAAAAACAUACCAAAUACAUGCCAAAGAAUAGCAUUUAACCAAUUCCAACCAUCCAUUUUAAUAUUUCCACAAUUUGGCAUCAAACAUAUCAAUUCAACUUAUACCAAUUCAACCUAAUCAACCAUGUAUGUUAACCAUUAAAUAUCAUCAUUCUAACCAUGUAAUUCAUACUUAAUUUUGCCAUAUAUAGUGCCACAAACAUAGCUCGAAGUGUUACCAAAACAUUUAUACUCAAUAGGCAUUAACCUUAUUAAAACUCAAGCAUUAUAAAGGAUUCAAACUAAAACUAUCAUUUUCAGUUAACAUAUCAAACACUUAUGUACAUGCCACAUAACCAAACUUUAACAUGUUUGAAAUACUACCAAAUUGAUAAUAGGAUAAUGUGAACUUCUUGUAGAUUCGAUCGACACGUUCCGCAAGUUGGCAAUCUACAAGGAAAAGGGAAAACAAUGGGGUAAGCAUUUCGAAUGUUUAGUAAGUUCAUAUGAAAAUUACUCAACUCACCUUGACAUUACAACAAAUUAAGUUGUUAAACACAUUGAUAUAUAACAUGGCAUCCUUAUACUUUCAUAUGUAAUUCAGCAUUACAACCAUUAGUCCAUUAGCAUAAUAAGGACAUAUAACUCAAUUCAUAUACAUAUUCAACAUUUUCAUCAUAUAUCAAAUACUAUCCAUUUUAUAUUCAAUUUGCAUACAUAAGUAAUUCAUUUCAUGUUCAAAUCAUAUACAUCGUUUUCAUUUUCAUCACACUACCAUGUUCUCACCCAAUAGGACUUUAGUAAACAGAAAUCGGAUACACAAAACUAUAUUGCUCACACAAGCUGACAGUGAUCAGGGCUGCUCACACAAGCUUUUAUCGAUGAAUUAGCUCACAAGCCUUUGUUUAUAAAUUGAGAAUCCACAACAAAUGUUAGAUCUCAAAUAAAAAUGUAAAUCCUUGAUCGUUUUCAUAUUUGACCCUAAUGGAAUGUCAUAUGUAUUUUAAUCUUUUACUAAGUUCACCAACAUACAUGUACUGAUAGACCUUGGGUCUACUCAUUCUUAUAUCUGUAGUAAGUUUGUGGUUGGGAAGAGUCUUAGAGUUGUCCCCACUAAGGCUAGCAUGAUAAUUACCAAUCCACUUGGUCAGAGUACUAUGGUAAACAGGGUGGUAAAUGACUGUUCUUUGAGUUUUAGCUAACAUGUAUUUUUGGCGAACUUAAUGCUAUUGAGUUUCCAUGAGUUUGAUGCCAUACUGGGAUUGAAUUGUCUGACAAGACAUAGAGCAGCAGUUGAGUGCAAGUCUAGAUGUGUAUGGUUACUAUCUGUCAAUGGCAAUAAGGUGUUCGUUUCAAGGGUGAAGUGUGAUGUCAAAAACAUUUUAGUCUCAGUCGUUACAGCUUAAAAAAUGAUUGCAAAAGGUAGAGAUGUUUAUUUGGCAUAUAUCUUAGACUCUAAGAUGGUGAAGGAAGACUCCGGGCAAGUACCAGUUGUGAAUGAGUUUCUAGAUUUUUUCUAGAUGAAUUACCGGGGAUACUACCAAAUAAAGAUGCAUAGUUCUCUAUUAAUGUAACGUUGGGGACUGUUCUUAUAUCAAGUGCGUUGUAUAGAAUGGCGCUAGUCAAAUUGAAGGAGUUGAAAGCUUAGCUGUAAGAAUUAUUAGAUAAAGGGUUUAUCGAACCAAGUGUUUCACCUUGAAGUGCGCCAAUAUUGUUUGUUAAGAAGAAAGAUGAGACCUUCCAAUUGUGUAUUGAUUAUAGAUAGUUGAACAAGGUGACCAUUAAGAAUAUGUAUCUGCUGCCUAAGAUUAAAGACUUGUUUGAUCAAUUAAGUGGAGCUAGAGUGUUCUCAAAUAUUGAUCUAUGAUCCGGGUAUUAUCAAAUCUAGAUUAAAGGGGAUGAUAUUCCUAAUACUGCAUUUCAUACUCACUAUGGGCAUUAUGAAUUUCUAGUGAUAUCAGUGUUUAUGGAUUUGAUGAACAGAGUAUUCUAGCCCUACCUCGAUCGUUGUGUGAUCGUAUUCAUUGAUGACAUUCUGGUUUAUUUAAAGAGUGAGGCAGAUCAUAAUGAACAUUUGUGAAUAGUUUUGAAUGUUCUUUGAGAAAACAAAUUGUACGCCAAGUUCAACAAAUGUGACUUUUGGCUAAAGGAAGUUCACUUCUUGGGCCAUGUUAUCUUUGCGAAUAGGAUUAAGGUAGAUCCUGAGAAGAUUCGGGUUGUACUAGAAUGCAAUCCGCUAAAAAAUUUUAUAGAAGUGUGCAAUAUCAUUGGUUUGGCGGGGUACUAUAGAAGGUUCAUGAAGUGGUCUUUCAUGAUUGCGACACCAUUGAUGCGGUUAUUGAGAAAAGAUGAGAAGUUUUACUGGUCUAAAGAGUGUUAACACAGUUUCGAUGAACUAAAUAAGAGAUUGACUGAAGCCUUAAUGUUGAUUCAACCAGAAUCAAGAACAAAAUACAUAAUGUUCAUAUAUGCAUCUUUGAAUGGGUUGGGGUGUGUGCUCAUGCAGAGAGGAAAUGUGGUUACUUAUGUUUCAUGCCAAUUCAAGCCUUAUGAGAAGAAUUACCCAACUCAUGGCUUGGAACUGGCCACCAUGGUGUUGGGAGAAGUGUCGUAUAUUUUCAAACCACAAAAGCUUAAAGUAUCUAUUCACUUAAAAGGAGUUGAACCUACGCCAACGAUUAUAGAUAGAGUUGUUAAAGGAUUAUGACUUGACCAUUGAGUACUAUCUAGGAAAAGAAAAUUUGGUGGCUGAUGUGUUAAGUAGAGAGAUUGUUGCAACUCUGGCUUUCUUGAGAGCAAGAGUAUGUCUGGCGAAUGAUGGGUCACUUCUCGCCAAGUUAAAGGCAAGCAAGACCUAUUUUUUUUUCCUAAAUAUUGGAGUCCUAACUCAAGGAUGCACAGUAUAAUAAGUGAUAAACCGUAAUUCAUACAUAUUUUUAUCCCAUGCUUAGCACAUUUUAUGGAUGAUUUUUCCUUAAAAUUGGUGAAUUCGAUGCUCCUAAUGCCUUAAUUUCAUGUUUUAUACUUAGGUGAGCAUAGGAGAGUGAAAAGAAUGAGAAACGGGCCAAAAUGGAGAAAAUAGGCCAAUGCACAAAAUCAACACGGCCUGGACCUCCUCAUACGGGUAGACCACAUAGCCGUGUCAAUUUGGCAGAAUAGAAGCAUGACUCACACGGGUGGACCACACGCCCGUGCCUAUUUAACAGGCUUGACCACGGCCUUAAGCAAUCGCACACAGGCAUGUUCUUACCGAGCCCAAGUUUAGUCUAAUCCAGAAAAGGCCAAUUUUGAGGGUUUUUAGGCAUUCUAAACCCUAUAAAUACACCCUAGAUGAGGAGGAAAAGGACACACACGGAGGAGGAAGCAGGGAACUGCUCAAGGAAAGCCGAUUGAUCCAUCUCAGAAGUCGGAUUCAUCAUUAAGACUAAAGAUCUCCCCUCAAUUUCCAUUCAGGAGUUUGGGUUUUUCUUUAUGUUUUGUAUUCAUUAUUCUUCUGAGAUGUUUACCUUUUUAGUUAUGAACUAAAACCCCUAAAUACCUAAGGGGAAUGAAACCUAAGACAGAUCUUGUUAUUAUUAUCUGAAUUGUAUGAUAAAUAUUUGACUUAUUCUUAAUUAUGUGUUCUUAAUUCUUGUUUUGAUAUUCCUGGAUAUUGAUUCAAGUUAAGCUCUUAUACAGAGGAGAAAUAGACCUGUCUAAGAGUACAUUUGUCAUAAUUAAGUGGAGUUGGUUGCGCGCCUAGAGAUAGGGUGACAAGAUUUUACCAGAUUAGGGUGAAACCUAAUAAGGGGAUCCAUAGAUCGAGUUAAAGCAACCCUAGGGAGUUAAUUAGAAAGAGAUUUCAAUUAUUCAACCUAGGGUUAGACGUUGUUAGUAUCGAGAGGGAUAAUAAUAUAACUUAGGAUUUCUACGGAUCAAGUCAAAUGAAUAAAUCGUCGGAUUCAGAGUCAAAUAACAAGUGAAUUCUAGGUGGAUUUUUCCUUAGAUAUUGUCUUAAUUCAAUCGUUUUUCCAAAAGUAAUUCCCCAAUUCUAUUUUCUGUGAAUUCUUAGUUUAGUUAAUUAGUUAGUUAAAACAAACCCCAUUAUUCUUAGGCUAGAUAAAAAGAUAGUCAUUACUAGUACUUUUAGUUCCUUUGGGUUCGACAAUUCGGUCUUGCUAAAGCUAUACUACUGUUCGAUAGGUACACUUGCCUUCAUCGUGAUAAUAGUUUGUUCCAAGAAUGAUUCAUUAUAAAUAUUUAAAACCUGUCACGAUUAUCACGCAUCAAGUUUUUGGCGCCGUUACCGGGGAACUAAGAUAUUAGGAACACUCGAUUUUUAUUACUUUAGCCAUUUUACUUUUAUUGCAAUUUAAAAUUUUAUUUUAUUUUCUAAUUCUUCAUUAUUUUCUUCUGAUAGGUUUUUUUUUAUAGUUUAUGACUAAAAGAAACCCGUCAGGACAAUUACUUUUUGAUAGUGAGAUCGAUCGCACAGUUCGUAGAAACCUAAGAGAAAUAAGGCGAAGCUUAAGAUACACAGAGAACGAGCAAGAUGACGAUAUUCAAACCCCAACCAAGGAGAUGGCUGACAACCAAGAAAAUCCGCUACCUCCUACAAUUGCUGUUAAUCAAAAUCCUGCUCCGCGCACUAUAUAUGAUUAUGCUAAACCUAAUUUAACAGGAACUAAGUCAAGUAUAGUUAGACCUACUAUUGCUGUAAACAAUUUUGAACUGAAACCUAACAAAAUUCAAAUGAUACAACAGUUUGUUCAGUUUGAUGGUUUGUAGGACGAGGAUCCCAACAUUCACUUGGCAAAUUUCCUAAAAUUUUGCAAUACAUUUAAAAUCAAUGGCGUUUCUGAUGAUGCCAUACGUCUUUGAUUUUUUCCCUUUUCGUUAAGGAAUAAGACGAAACAAUGGUUGAACUCGUUACCACGAGGGUCAAUCACAACUUGGGAACAAAUGAUCGAAAAUUUUUUAUUAAAAUAUUUUCCACCUGUUAAAAUAGCCAAAUUACGUAAUGAUAUAUCUUCUUUUGUACAGAUGGAUUUAGAAACACUCUACGAUGCAUGUAAGAGAUACAAGGACCUUUUGAGAAGAUGCCUUCAUCAUGCGUUACCACUUUGGCUAAAGGUUCAAACGUUCCAUAAUGGCCUGAAUCCUUCGACUCAGCCGUUGGAGGAACUAUCAAUAAUAAGACAGCUGAGGCUGCUUACGAAUUUAUUGAGAUAUCACUGAAUAACUAUCCGUGGCAAGUCAUGAGGACAAAGCCAACAAAAACAGUCGACAUUUAUAACAUCGAUUCGGUCACCAUGCUCUCUAAUCAGGUAGAACACUUGAAUAAGAAAAUUGAUAGUUUUCUUAGUUCUUCACAGGUUCACCCAGUAAUGCAGUGCGAAAUAAAUGGAGGUGGAUCGAGCAAUUCAAAAUACCCACCUUAUGGCCAAAACAUGGAGAACGAACAGUUAAAUUAUAUGGGUAAUAAUCCUCGAUCUCAAAACAAUCCUUAUAGCAAUACUUACAAUGCAGGUUGGAGGAAUCACCCAAAUUUCUCGUGGGGCGGUCAAGGAAAUCAAAGGCCACAGCAUCCUCCGGGCUUCCAACAACCACCUUACCAGCAAGAAAAUAAGCCAAACCUUAAGGAGAUGCUAACCAAAUUCAUCUCGGUAUCAGAAACUCCUUUUUAGAAUACUGAGACUGCACUCAAAAAUCAACAAGCAUCGAUCCAAGGGCUCGAAACUCAAAUUGGUUAGCUUGCCAAAUUGAUUUCUGAACAACCACAAGGUAGCUUGCCAAGCAAAACAGAAUCUAACCCAAGGGAGCAACUCAACGCGAUUACUAGUCAAGAUGAGGAAGGGUUAGUCACACCUGAACUAGAACCAAGGCAAGAAACUGAGAUAAGCAGAGGUAAAGGUGAGGUAGACCAUAAUGAGCAGAAACCGGUAAGUACAGAAUACAAACCUCGUGUGCCAUACCCUAAUGUGACAAGGAAAGACCAUUCAGAUGAACAAUUCGGUAAAUUCUUUAAACUCUUAAAAAAGUUACAUAUUAACUUACCGCUUAUUGAAGCUCUAUCGCAGAUGCCAAAUGCAAUGAAAUUUUUAAAUGAGCUUGGACGAGGCUUCACAUGUUAAGCUAAACGUAGUUUGCUCAGCUAUUCUACAGAAUAAACUACCCAACGAAUUGAAAGAUCUAGGGAGUUUUACAAUUCCUUUCUUAAUUGGUAGUUUAGAUGUUAAUAAUGCAUUAGCUGAUUUAAGGGCUAGUAUUAACGUCAUGCUUUACAAAAUGUUUAAACAACUAGGUCUUGGGAAACCCAAACAGACUAGGAUGAGCAUUCAAUUAGCAGAUAAAACUAUAAGAUUUCCUAGGGGUAUUAUUGAAGAUGUGCUAGUUAAAAUCGAUAAAUUUAUAUUUCCCGUUGACUUCGUUGUUCUAGACAUAAAGGAGGAUAGCAACACCCUUUUGAUUUUAGGAAGGCCCUUUUUAGCAACUGCUAGAACGAUUAUUGAUGUUGGCACAGGUGAGCUCAAACUUUGUGUGGGAGACGAAACAAUCACCCUUCAAGCUCGCAAUUCCGGCAACACAUCGAAAAUUGAAGGUGAUUGUCUAAAGCAUUCUACUACAAUUAACAAUAUGGUGCAACCUAUUUUGCAGGAAAUGAGUUUAAAGAAAGUACAUGAGUCAAUUUCAAGCAAUAGUAAAGGACUUAUUCGUGAAGAACGAGGGCUACAAAUCGAGGAGCUAGAUGAAUGGCGGACACAUAAACCGAGAAGACAUGAUAAACCAAAACUACGCCAGAAUAAGCUUAAUACCUUUCCAAAUCAACUUGAGGUUGGAGAUAAAGUUUUAUUAGAUGCCGCAGAUCCUCACAUUCUUACUACCAAAUCGAAUGAAGAAAUCCCUCUUAUGGCACUUAGCAUUUUCCAAUUUAGUACAGUCGAGGUAAAUCAUCCCAAGUUCGGCACUUUUAAGGUAAACAAUACCCACCUAAAACCUUAUUUUGAUGAGAUUCACAGCAGAAAUGAGGAGUAUAAACUCCUCGAACCACCAUGACCAUUCAAUGUAAAGGUAAGUCGAGCUUAGACUAUAAAUAAGCGAUUUUUGGGAGGCAACCCGAGCACUAACAAUAUUACUUUCUUUAAAUUUUAGUUUUUAAAAUCUAACAUACUAACCAAAUCAUUGAAAAUAGGCUUUUCAGAACUACACGAUCAGGCACACGGGCAUGCCGUAGGCCGUGCACAUACUACGGGAUGAACCACAACCGUGCGAUACGGUCGUGUGAAAAUAGGGCAAAAAUUUCUUCCCCAACACGGGAUGCGAUAAGUAGUCGCGGCCGUGCGACAUGGCCGUGGGUGUUUUGAAACCGUGGGUAAAAUUGUCAAUUUAAGACGGGCGUCCGCCUGUAUACACAGGCGUAGGAGAAGCUAACGGAAAUCGACACGGCUCUGCAACAUGGUCGUGUACACCAAUGCGCCUAAUUUCAAAAAUUACAAAACGCACGGGCUAAGCUUAAAGCACACGGGUAUGCCCCAUGCUGUGUGCCCCAAUUUUUCUAUAAAGACUUAUUUUAUUUUAUUUUUAUUCCUAUAUUUUGAAAUUAUUUUUUAUUUCCUUUUAAUACUAUUUUUUUCUUGAUUUUUUUUACAAUUUUUAAUUUCGGCUAAUUCAUAUUGAGUACUUACUAUUCCUUAUAUAUUUCCUAAAAGAGUUCUUGAUUCUAUCACAAUUAUAAAGAGCUCCAAAGCUCACUAUUACUCAGGGAUUCGAAACUUCACUGGAGAAGGUUCUCCACGACUGCCAUGUCCUGCUCAACCACGACCAUAAUCGACUUCAGAUAUAAUAUUCUUUUGGCGUAGGACUUAUGGAAUAAUGAACCUCUACCACCGCCAGAGUAUCCUCCUCCACCCUCACGCAGAUUAUUCUCCAAAUCUCCAGUUCAAGGGAAUUCAUUCAUCACUCAGGAAGUUUCACUUCUUUCCCUUUAUUAUAUUUAUAUUCUCUAUCUUUGUACAUGGAGGGCAAUGUACAUCUUAAGUGUGGGGGGUAUUCAUUUCACUAUCAGAAAAAUCCCUGAAUGAUUGUCUUGUUCUCUUGAAAAGCUCUCAUAUCAUGUUUAGGAUAAAUUUUGAUUGAUUUAUGACUUUUAUUGAUAUAUCUUGAAUUAAAACAUAGGCAUUUAUGCAUUGAGGGUUUAAACUUUAAGACAUUAGGGAAUCAAGCAUGAUAAGUUGAUUUUUGAAGAAUUAAAAACUUUUAGGUUGUUUCCCCAAGUUUAGGUAUUAUCUUGAGUUGAAACUCACCAGUUUAAACAUCAAAAAGCCAUAAUUUUUGUGAGAUCUUGAGCCAUUAGAGCAUCUAUUAUUUCUUUCAUGCUCAUUUUCAUUAUGAGUGCGUCAGUAUUGAAUUGCUAUUCUAGAACUUGCUUGAUUAUGCAUGUGAAGACCACACCAUUUGAUUUGAUAUGUCAAAAUGAUAAAGGCACUUAGGUUUAACCCACUCACUUCAUAAAAGCCUACCUUUACAAUUAACCCUUAGUGAACCCCCUUGAGCCUAACAACCCAUUCAUUGAUUUACCCUCGAUAUUAACCCAUAACUCAUUAUUGUUGAAAUCCCCUAUAUUAAUGUGAUCCCUAUUUUUGUUGAGAUUUGAGUUGGAAUAAUUGCUUAGCUAUGUUUUAUUCUUUUUUGUAAUUUGGCUUGUUCUUAAAAAAAACAAAUGUAUACAUAUUAGUAGUAGUGAUCUUUUGAGCUAGAGAAGUUAAAUUCCAUAUUCUGAGAAAAGGCUCUGUUGUACGUAAUUGAUGACUAGUCAUUUUUCUAGUUAGGCAAUUUUUCAAUUCAAUCUCGAUUCUAACCCUUUCUUUCAGCUUUUGACCACACCUUUUAACCAAAGCCACGUUACAUCCCUCUAAAGACUUUUUGAUUGACGUUUCAUCUCAAAUUAUAGUGGUUGAGAUUUGAUUUUCAUACAAGCCUAAUGACUCUUCAUUAUUGACUAUUGAGUGCUUCAUUUAUUGUCCUUAAACACCUGAAGUGAUUUGAGUGAAUCUUUAGUGAGGAUGUGAAACUCUGUGAUAUUUUGAAUCAAAGGUAAUUACUUAAAUGAGGGGAGACACCUAUGUUUUUAUGAUAAAAUGCUCAACUUGGAAUGUUUGAAACUUUAAUGUUCUUUCAGUUGAAUUUUCAAUGUAUGAUUACCUAUGGAUUAUUUUGAGAUAUUAUCCAUAGAAAUUAUAAGUUGAGAAGAAUUUAUUUUGAUUAUGAGUUGAGGGCUUUGCUGGAGGACAAGCAAAUGCUUAAGUGUAAGGGUAUUUGAUAAACCGUAAUUCAUACAUAUUUUUAUCUCAUGCUUAGCAUAUUUUAUGGAUUAUUUUUUCUUAAAAUUUGUGAAUUCGAUGCUCCUAAUGCCUUAAUUUCAUGUUUUAUACUUAGGUGAGUACAAGAGAGUGAAAAGAACGGGAAACAGGCCAAAAACGGAGAAAAUGGGCCAACGUAUGAAAUCAACACGGCCUGGACCUCCUCACACGAGCAGACCACACGGCCAUGUCAAUUUGGCAGAAUCGAAGCACGACUCACACGGGUGGACCACACGCCCGUGCCUAUUUAACAGGCUUGACCAUGACCUUAAGCAAUCGCACACGGGCGUGUUCCUGCCGAGCCCAAGUUUAAUCCAAUUCAGAAAAGGCCAAUUUUAAAGGUUCUUAGGCAUUCUAAAGCCUAUAAAUACACCCUAGAUGAGGAGGAAAAGGAUACACACGGAGGAGGAAGCAGGGAACUGUUCAAGGAAAGCCGAUUGAUCCAUCUCAAAAGUCGAAUUCAUCAUCAAGACUGAAGAUCUCCCCUCAAUUUCCAUUCAGGACUUUGGAUGAACUGGGAUAAGUACCUGGCUUUGGCGGAGUUUGCAUACAAUAACAAUUAUCACACCAGUUUAGGCAUGUCACCUUUUGAGGCAUUUUGUGAGAGGAAGUGUUGAUCACCAGUUUGCUAAUUAAAGCUUAGUGAGAAGAAGUUGGUUAGUCCAAACUUAGUCUGUAAAGUAAAAGAGAAGGUGUUGGUCAUCAAGACCAGUGCCAAAUGGAAAGAACCCGUAAACUAGAAAAAGCUCUAAGUGAAGAUUUCUGGUGAGUUCCUUCGUAUCUUGAGUCUAUUAUUUAUGUUAUUUUGUUAAACCUUCCUCACUGUACAACCAGGUAAGUGGCUUUAACAUUUGGUUCUAAUUCUCGUGUUUAAGGAGUCAAUACAUGUAAAGGUAAAGAUAAUGAAACAAAAUAGAAGUCAUGCAUGUUCAUGGUAUAAAUACUCAUUCUUUGGUGCAUAAUUUUCGUAUCCAAAAUGGUGUAAAGAGGUAUCGAAGGGUUGUUACGUAUAUGAAAAAGAAAGAUAUUAUAUUUUGCCUCCGGUAUGUCAUUCUCGUGUAAACUGUGGCUGGUGAAAACUUGGUCUUGCAGGGGAACACUUAUGUGUUCAAAAUAAAAUGAGGGAUGAAGGGGGUAUGGAGGUUAUGACUAGUAAAUAGCUUGAUGAGUGGUAUGAAGAUAUACGAAAAAUGGUUCUUUAGAACUAGAAUUAGAAGCUAACAUAAGAAAGGGAGUAUAUGGGAAAAAAAUGGUGCAUUUGUGUAAAACAAAGAGUUUACGUUGCAUAAAGUGUAAACAAUAUGUUUAACUGUUAUAAAAGGGUAAUCUGUGAAAGUGGCAUACACGCAGAGUAGUUUUGCUCAAUAGAUAGUGUUCGCUAAUAGGUUGCGUCUAAUUGCAGGAGUAUUUUUCAGUGGAUACUUAGGAUGGAGAGAGAAUUGUAUCUGCCAGAUAUGGUGUACUAUUUUGUCAGUUUAAGUCUUGAUCUCUUAAUGUCUGAUGGUCCUUAUUGUGGAAUUAUACUUCCUAGGAACUCACUAAGUUCUUAUGAACUUACCUAUUUGUUUUCUUCUAAUUUUUAGGUUCUUAGGUUGGACAUUAUAGUAGUAGGGAAUUAGCCAAAUUAGCGGCCUAUUGUGAGCCUUCUCUUAUCUUGGUAUAACAUGAAAUUAUUAGGGUGUUAAGACUUCUAUUAGCUGCCACCAGUUGAAAAUCAUUAGCCUGUAUUUUAGAAAAUGGUAUUUUGUAACUAUGAAUGCUUAUUUGUAACCUUGUCAGCUUAUUGACAAAGUUGGUUCUAUGUGACACUGGAACGAAAAAAUUGUGCAAGUGUACACAAUCGUGACAAGUAACAAAGUGAUAAAUAUUAAGUAUCGUCUCCACAGGGACUGUUAAGCACUUCUUUGUGAAAAAAAAUUAGAACUUAAACAAAUUGGUGAUGGAAAAAUAAUAUAGGUUGAAAGUGUAGUGCAAUUAAAUAAAAUUGAGUUAACUAACUAAUUUAAUAAGCUAAAAAUUAUCUUAGUAUGAAAUUUAAAUGAACACAGGAAAUUAUGCAAGUAUUAAGAGUUUAUAACAAUGGCAUGCUUGUGUUAAAACAAUCAUCCUUCCUAGUAUAGAAUUAUUCAUACUGUUAAAAGAUGCUACGGAGAUUUCGUGGCUAAAUUGAUUAUUUAUUAACCCUAAUCAAAUUUAGUAAAAUAUUUAACUUAAUCAAUUAUUAAACUUGUCUCACAUAUUUCUAUAUUUAAUAGAAUUAAAAUUUCAUAAGCAAAACAUGUUACAAGGUUAUGUAAGGUAAUAGUAGUUUUAUUAUUAUUACAAAUUUAAUAUAUACAUGAUUAAACAUUAUACCAUACAAGUAUUUUUUCAAUUAAUUAAAAUCUUAUUCAGAUUAAUUAAUUAAUUCAUACAUUUCUUCACAUUAAACAUGCAUAAGAAAUUUACUCGUGAUUUUACUUGAAUGAAUAAUGCAAACUAUGGAAAUCAGAUCAUUCUAACAACAACGAAUUUAAGCAAUCAUGAUUAUAUUGAAAAGCAAAUACUUAUUUGAAAACUUGUUUAUGAAUUGAACAAAAACAAAGAUAAAAAGGGCAGAAGAAACUCUAACCAAUUCUGGACGUUCCCGAGGCAUAAACUACUUGCUCCUUCAUUGGUUCUUUUGUCUUGCCGUCACAACUAAGCCAAAGUACCCUCAAUAUAGCUGAAAUAUGGCUGCUCUCACGACUAUGCAAAGCUCUUUUUCAAUAGGAAGAAAUAAUGAAUGAAAAAGGAAGAAAAGAGAACGCAAGUGGAGAGGAAAUGAAAAGAGAAUGAAU
rnacentral:lncRNA from 1 species